UACAGAGGGGGCAAGCGUUGUUCGGAAUUACUGGGCAUAAAGGGCGCGUAGGCGGCCUGCUAAGUCGAACGUGAAAUCCCCGGGCUUAACCCGGGAACUGCGUCCGAUACUGGCUGGCUUGAAUCCGGGAGAGGGAUGCGGAAUUCCAGGUGUAGCGGUGAAAUGCGUAGAUAUCUGGAGGAACACCGGUGGCGAAGGCGGCAUCCUGGACCGGUAUUGACGCUGAUGCGCGAAAGCCAGGGGAGCAAACGGG
rnacentral:rRNA from 1 species